rnacentral:rRNA from 1 species
CAAUAGCGUAUAUUAAAGUUGUUGCAGUUAAAAAGCUCGUAGUUGGAUUUCUGGUGGGAGCGAUCGGUCUGGCGCUUAGCGCGAGUACUUGCAUCGUCUCCGGCCAUCCUUGGGGAAAGUCUGUCUGGCAUUAAGUUGUCGGGCAGAGGAUCCUCAUCGUUUACUGUGAAAAAAUUAGAGUGUUCAAAGCAGGCUUAUGCCGUUGAAUAUAUUAGCAUGGAAUAAUAAGAUAGGACUUUGGUACUAUUUUGUUGGUUUGCGCCCCAAAGUAAUGAUUAAUAGGGACAGUUGGGGGUAUUCGUAUUCCGUUGUCAGAGGUGAAAUUCUUGGAUUUACGGAAGACGAACUACUGCGAAAGCAUUUACCAAGGAUGUUUUCAUUAA